UCCAAAAUAUCAGGCUGAAAAUAACUUUGAAAAGUUGUCUCCCAAGGUUAUCAUUGAAAAAAAAGGGGCCAUCUUGGACUUCGAGUUAUAGAAUACCUACCCUACAUGCCACAGCCUAGGUAGCGUGACUCAUCCACAAACAUUCCUACAGCUUUCAAAAUUUAAAAUAUAGGUACCUAUCUAUUUAUGCACGUUUACUCACUCUCCUCACUGUCAAGGAGUUGACGAUAUAUUUUACACAUCAUAAAAAUGUUGUACUUGGGAUAAGUACACAUUAUUAAAGAUUACAAAGAUAAUUUUAAGUCACACUUUGACAACAUGGUAAAUUUCAAAUAAACUUCAACCGAACUUGAAUAGAUAAUAAAGCAAUUAUAAGCACCAAUAUCGAUAUUGUUCAUAUACCUACGCAUGUAGGUACAUACGUUUCUUCAACGGUUAGAUACGUGCCACGUACCAGUUUCAAGUGGGUAGUUGCUUUUCGCGAUCAAAAUGUACAAAUUCGGUGUACCAUUGUUUUUUGUCGUUUUAUACGUAAAUCAAAAUGUAGUUCAAUCACAAAACGCAAACGAAUUAGUUUCCGAUAUUGAAUUUCAGAGAAAACUAAUAGAAUGUAAACAAUACUGUGUGAAUCAAGAUCCAAAACGUGAUUCCGAACAAACUUGCCACGUUUUCCCAGAAAGAAAAGUGGUGUUGACUGAUUGUCAGCUAACUUGCAUGAAUAAAUUCAUCACUAAAGAAGAGAUUGCUAAAGCGAGCACUUGUCCUUGUGUAUCUGGAAGGUGCGUAGGAGAUACAAAACCACCGAAUGCUGCUGUCAGAUUUAUUCCUGAGAUAUUUGGUCUCAUGUUUAUAAUGUACACUAUUAGGCAUUUGGUUUAGAAUUUGACUUUAUUGAGACGAUUUUGUGAUGCUACUUUUAUGUGAUAAUAGGUACUAUGGUUUUGAACUCGAAUAAAAAUGUUAUAGAAAUCGAA